GCCGGCUGCAGUGGCACAUGCCUGUAGUCCCAGCUACUCGGGAGGCUGAGGUGGGAGGAUCGCUUGAGCCCAGGAGUUCUGGUCUGUAGUGCGCUAUGCCGAUUGGGUGUCUGCACUAAGUUCAGCAUCAAUAUGGUGACCUCCCGGGAGCAGGGGACCAGCAGGUUGCCUAAGGAGGGGUGAACUGGCCCAGGUAGGAAACAGAGCAGGUCAAAACUCCCAUGCUGAUCAGUAGUGGGAUGGCACCUGUGAAUAGCCACUGCACUCCAGCCUGGGCAACAUAGCGAGACCCCAUCUCUU
rnacentral:SRP_RNA from 1 species